ensembl:lncRNA
UUUUUUUUUUUUUUUUUUAAGAGACAAGGUCUCACUUUGUUGCUCAGGCUGGAGUGCAAUGGCGCUAUCACAGCUCAUUGCAGCCUCAAACUCCUGGGCUCAAGGGAUGCUCCCAUCUCACUCUCCUGAGUGGCUGGGACUACCGGCACAUGCCACCAUGCCUGGUGAAUUUAUUUUGUUUUAUCUUUUGUAAAGAAGGGGCCUUGCUUUGUUGCCUAGGCUGGUCUCAAAUUCCUGGCCUGAAGCGAUCCCCCUACCUUGCUCUCCCAAAGUCCUGUACAGACAAAUUCUGUCAGACUGGGUCACUAAUUAUUCUUCUCUUUCCCUCAUCCCUACUAAAAUGCUCAGAGUAUUAGAUAUCAUCAUCCUUAUUCAAAUAUUUGUUAUAAAACUGGAAAGAGUUGGCCAACCUUGGAAACCUUUUUCACUUCUAUCUCUUGCUUAAUCAGUAUAAUAGAAAGCUAAGAGAAUAGGAUUUGGAGUCAAACCAAACCUAGCCUUCAUCUUAGCGCUGAUAUUUAGUAUUGUGUUUCCUUGGGUAAGUUCCUUAUUCUCUUGGAGCUCAAUCUUCUCAUCUAUCUGCAAAACAGGGCUAACCAUAGCAUCUUUUUCAUAAGGCUGUGGUGAAUAUUUAAGUGCUGUUAUGAAUAUGAAGCAUAUAGCAGAGUACCUAACACAGGACAGAAUAAACAAACUGCUGAGAUAACGAUGUCAAUGACGAUGAAAGCUUACAAAAGUAAGAGAAGUGGUCAGAACGCUGAUGAGAACUCCAUAUAGAAUCUGCAAAUUUAGAAAGAAGAGACUGAAUCUCACUUAAAUCCCAAGCAAAGAACUUUGCAACUUUUUCAGGGUUUGAAUCUAAGCCUGUUGAAAUCCCACUGAGUCAGUACAAUGCUGAAUGAUGUCUCCUUCUGGUGAAUAGCCAGGCUGUAAAAUCCUUCACAAAUUUAAAUACAGUAUAGUGGGGGAAACAGAUCAGAAAAGAGUGACAAUAGUCAGAACAGUAGGGGAGGCAAACACACACCAAGGUCUAUGUCUAAUUUUGAUACAAUAUGGGUCAACAUCCAAUAAUAUUCCUAAGAUGAUAAGUAACCUUGACAACCCAGCUGAUGCAGGCACUGAAAGAAUAAGAGAUUCACAGGGAGGAACAGGAGAAAAUCUGGGCCAUUUUCUUGGUUCAGUGCUGGCUCAUGCCUUUUGCUCUGUAGAAAAUUUCUUAUUACUUGUAAACCAAAGUCUUCUACUAUUUAAUUAAUAAACAUCUAUUAAACACCUGUAAUGCGCCAAGAAAAUAGUUUAGACCUUUGGGUAUAUAGAGGUCCCCUGCUCACAAAGACUGUCAGGGAGGACAUUCCUAUUCACAACUAAGUAGGAUACAGCUCAACCCACACAGUAAGCCUGCAAGCUCAAUACUCCUAGUGAAAGCAACAAAGUCACUGAUUAAUUUUGACUGGGAUAUGCUAAUAAUGUCAAUAACAAAUAUAAUACUGAUAAUAAUAAAUAGACUAGGUUUUGCUGCAGCAGCAAACAAAUCUCAGUGGCCCCAUACAACACAAUUUUAUUUCUUGAUCAUGCUCCACAGCCAUGUAUUAGGUUGG